rnacentral:rRNA from 1 species
GACGAAGGGGGCUAGCGUUGUUCGGAAUUACUGGGCGUAAAGCGAGUGUAGGUGGUUGUCCAAGUUGGAUGUGAAAGCCUUGAGCUCAACUCAAGAAAUGCAUUCAGGACUGGGCGGCUAGAGGACCGGAGAGGAUAGUGGAAUUCCCAGUGUAGUGGUGAAAUACGUAGAGAUUGGGAAGAACACCAGUGGCGAAGGCGGCUAUCUGGAUGGUUUCUGACACUAAGACUCGAAAGCGUGGGGAGCAAACAGG